UACGUAGGGUGCGAGCGUUAAUCGGAAUUACUGGGCGUAAAGCGUGCGCAGGCGGUUCGUUGUGUCGGUGGUGAAAGCCCCGGGCUUAACCUGGGAAUGGCCAUGGAAACUGGCGAACUGGAGUGUGGCAGAGGGGGGUGGAAUUCCGCGUGUAGCAGUGAAAUGCGUAGAGAUGCGGAGGAACACCGAUGGCGAAGGCAGCCCUCGGCUGG
rnacentral:rRNA from 1 species